rnacentral:tRNA from 1 species
UCCUGCCUAGCUCAGUUGGUAGAGCUUGAGACUCUUGAUCUCAGGGUUGUGAGUUCGAGUGGCAUGUUGGGUG